rnacentral:rRNA from 1 species
GUGGGGAAUAUUGGGCAAUGGGCGAAAGCCUGACCCAGCAACGCCGCGUGAAGGAAGAAGGCUUUCGGGUUGUAAACUUCUUUUGUCAGGGACGAAAAAAAUGACGGUACCUGACGAAUAAGCCACGGCUAACUACGUGCCAGCAGCCGCGGUAAUACGUAGGUGGCAAGCGUUAUCCGGAUUUACUGGGUGUAAAGGGCGUGUAGGCGGGAAAGCAAGUCAGAUGUGAAAACUAUGGGCUCAACCCAUAGCCUGCAUUUGAAACUGUUUUUCUUGAGUACUGGAGAGGCAGAUGGAAUUCCUAGUGUAGCGGUGAAAUGCGUAGAUAUUAGGAGGAACACCAGUGGCGAAGGCGAUCUGCUGGACAGCAACUGACGCUGAGGCGCGAAAGCGUGGGGAGCAAACAGGAUUAGAAACCCUAGUAGUCC